GACGAACGCUGGCGGCGUGCUUAACACAUGCAAGUCGAACGGAAAGGCCCUGCUUUUGUGGGGUGCGCGAGUGGCGAACGGGUGAGUAACACGUGAGUAACCUGCCCUUGACUUGGGGAUAACUUCAGGAAACUGGGGCUAAUACCGGAUAGGAGCUCCUGCGGCAGGGUGGGGGUUGGAAAGUUUCGGCGGUUGGGGAUGGACUCGCGGCUUAUCAGCUUGUUGGUGGGGUAGUGGCUUACCAAGGCUUUGACGGGUAGCCGGCCUGAGAGGGUGACCGGCCACAUUGGGACUGAGAUACGGCCCAGACUCCUACGGGAGGCAGCAGUGGGGAAUAUUGCACAAUGGGCGGAAGCCUGAUGCAGCAACGCCGCGUGCGGGAUGACGGCCUUCGGGUUGUAAACCGCUUUCGCCUGUGACGAAGCGUGAGUGACGGUAAUGGGUAAAGAAGCACCGGCUAACUACGUG
rnacentral:rRNA from 1 species